UUUAUCAAAAUAUUGAUUUGUGGUGUCAAAGAUAUAAGAAAUUAUUUUAGGCC
rnacentral:tRNA from 1 species